rnacentral:rRNA from 1 species
AGAGUUGAUCCGGCAGGUGAGCUGGCGGCGUGCCUAACACAUGCAAGUCGAAGCGAAAGUCCCGCAAGGGAUGAGUAGAGUGGCAGACGGGUGAGUAAUGCAUAGGUAAUCUACCCUUGAGUGGGGGAUAACUCCGGGAAACCGGUGCUAAUCCCGCAUAACGUCCUGAUGCAUAAGUAUCUGGACCAAAGGGGGGGAUCCUUCGGGACCUCUUGCUUGAGGAUGAGCCUAUGUCCUAUUAGCUAGUUGGUGAGGUAAUGGCCCACCAAGGCUAUGAUGGGUAGCCGAGCUGAGAGGCUGAUCGGCCACACUGGAACUGAAACACGGUCCAGACUCCUACGGGAGGCAGCAGUGGGGAAUUUUGCGCAAUGGGCGAAAGCCUGACGCAGCGACGCCGCGUGAGGGAUGAAGGUUCUCGGAUCGUAAACCUCUGUCAGGAAGGAUUAAAUGUGCGGAUGUGAAUAUCAUCCGUACUUGACUUAACUUCCAAAGGAAGCCCCGGCUAACUACGUGCCAGCAGCCGCGGUAAUACGUAGGGGGCAAGCGUUACUCGGAUUUACUGGGCGUAAAGAGAAUUAAGGCGGUCAUGUAAAGUCAGUGGUGAAAUCCCUCGGCUCAACUGAGGAAUUGCCCUUUGAUACUGCGUGACUUGAGGACAGGAGAGGAAGGCGGAAUUCCCGGUGUAAGCGGUGGAAUGCGUAGAUAUCGGGAGGAACACCUGAGGCGAAGGCGGCUUUCUGGACUGGUCCUGACGCUGAUAUUCGAAAGCUAGGGGAGCAAACAGGAUUAGAUACCCCUGGUAGUCCUAGCUGUAAACGAUGGAUACCUAGA